rnacentral:rRNA from 1 species
GACGACAACUGACGCUGAGGCGCGAAAGCGUGGGGAGCAAACAGGAUUAGAUACCCUGGUAGUCCACGCCGUAAACGAUGGAUACUAGGUGUGGGGGGACUGACCCCCUCCGUGCCGCAGUAAACACAAUAAGUAUCCCACCUGGGGAGUACGACCGCAAGGUUGAAACUCAAAGGAAUUGACGGGGGCCCGCACAAGCAGUGGAUUAUGUGGUUUAAUUCGACGCAACGCGAAGAACCUUACCGGGAUUUGACAUCCUGCUAACGAAGUAGAGAUACAUUAGGUGCCCUUCGGGGAAAGCAGAGACAGGUGGUGCAUGGUUGUCGUCAGCUCGUGUCGUGAGAUGUUGGGUUAAGUCCCGCAACGAGCGCAACCCUUAUUGUUAGUUGCUACGCAAGAGCACUCUAGCGAGACUGCCGUUGACAAAACGGAGGAAGGCGGGGACGACGUCAAAUCAUCAUGCCCCUUAUGUCCCGGGCUACACACGUAAUACAAUGGCGUUAAACAGAGGGAAGCAAAGCCGCGAGGCAGAGCAAAACCCUAAAAGGCGUCUCAGUUCGGAUCGCAGUCUGCAACUCGACUGCGUGAAGUUGGAAUGCUA